GAAGCUAGAGAUGUAGUUCUGUCUGUUAGAUUAAUCUGGUUAAGGACCGAUUCGUGUCUUAACCAUUGAUCAAGUGAUAACAUCUGAUCACUUACUGGGUAUGGGACCAGUAAAGCCCAGUAGAUUAGUAAAUUCUAUGAUCAGGAAUGCUUCGUACCCGCAUUUGACGUGCUGGAGAUUGGCAGGGGUGUAGCCUGAAACUCACAUGGAGAUCAGGCCAGACGUGGGGUCCCAUGUGGGGGUGCAUCCCUGGGUCCGG
rnacentral:lncRNA from 1 species